rnacentral:tRNA from 1 species
GCCGCAGUGGCGGAACUGGCAGACGCCCGGGACUUAAAAUCCCGUUCUGGCAACAGAGUACCGGUUCAAUUCCGGUCUGCGGCACCA